CCUACGGGUGGCAGCAGUGAGGAAUAUUGGUCAAUGGGCGGGAGCCUGAACCAGCCAAGCCGCGUGAGGGAAGAAGGUACAGCGUAUCGUAAACCUCUUUUGUCAGGGAACAAAGGCGGGGACUAGUCCCCGGAUGAGGGUACCUGAAGAAAAAGCAUCGGCUAACUCCGUGCAAGCAGCCGCGGUAAUACGGAGGAUGCGAGCGUUAUCCGGAUUUAUGGGGUUUAAAGGGUGCGCAGGCGGCCUGUUAAGUCAGCGGUAAAAGCCCGGGGCUCAACCCCGGCGAGCCGUUGAAACUGGCGAGCUGGAGUUGGAGAGAGGUACGCGGAAUGCGCGGUGUAGCGGUGAAAUGCUUAGAUAUAGCGCAGAACCCCGAUUGCGAAGGCAGCGUACCGGCUCCACACUGACGCUGAGGCACGAAAGCGUGGGUAUCGAACAGGAUUAGAUACCCUUGUAGUC
rnacentral:rRNA from 1 species